GCAUGACAAUGGAUUUAUGUUGGAUCAAUCCCAUGAUCCUGUCAUAGUGUACUCCAUGCUAAAUCAAAGCACUGCUCCAAACCAUUGAUCAGCCUGCAUGCUCCAUAGGCUGGCUUCACUGAUGGGAGCAGGACAUUG
ensembl:snoRNA